GCGGGCGCGGCGCACCGGGACCCAGAGCGGCCCUGGGUCCCCACGGGGUUGCGCAGCUGCCGCCAGGAUUGACGUGCGUGUGUUAGGACACGGUAAUUCUCAAGAGUGGACACGUGGUGGAUGUUAUUGGGGAAUGUGCUUGAACACAAUAAAGCAGUGAAUGGAGACUAAGGAAGACACAAGAUUGAAGAAACAAGAAAUCAGGGAAGAAAAUUUGCACAAAACUCCUGGAGAACAAGUGGCCCAAAUCACUGCAGAAGGUCAGAGGGUUCUGGGAAGAGGGUCCUUGGAGAAAGGGAAGACCUAACGGAUUCUGCCAUGUUUGAACAUUUGUAAAGUGGUUUAUAAUCACGAGAUAAAGAGGCACCUUCUAAUGCCUCACCACUCCUUUUGAGGAGGAGGGCCUGAAGCUUUCACACCCAAGCCCAAGUUCAUGAGAAACACAGAACUUCAGUUCCCUGGACAACAGAACCAGAAUUGCAUUUUGCCAGAUCCCAGGGGAUUUAAAGGCACUUUAAAUUUAGAAGCAUUAUUCAACUGCCAUUUGGUUUUACAACUAUGUGCAUACAUGAUUUUGGUAAAUGUUUUAAAGUAAAGAGCAAAUCAAGGGUAAAUGUUUUAAGGUAAAAGAGCAAAAUUAGUUUAAGGCAAUCUGGGAGCUUAUCAGAAGGGUAUUCAACUUAGUGUUAUUGUUUUUAAUGGCAAAAAAUUGUAAACAACCUAAAUGUUCAAAACAAUACAGAACUAGUUAACAUUAUGAUCAUACUUAUGAAUAAAUUCAUGCAACCAUCAAACUAAUUACAUAAAUUAGUUUAUUUCUAAUUAAACUUUUUGGAUACAAUUGUAGAUAAAUGUGCAGUUGUAAAAGAUAACAGAGAAUCAGCAUACCUUGUGGUUAUUUAUAUGUGUGUAUGUAUAUUUAGAUAACACUAUCUUGUAUCUACCACCACAGUUAAGAAAAGCUUCAUCACCAUAGCCUCCCUGUGGUGCCCUCUUCUAACCACACCCACCUUCCCUAAACCUUCUUAUGAUUUUGAGAAUGUUAUAUAAAUAGAAUCAUACACUAUGUGACUUCUGGGAUGGGCUUUUUUUUGUUGUGUGUAUAAGAUAUUUCAUUAUUUGUUCAUGCUGAGUACUAUUUCAUGGUAUAGAUGUGCCAAUUUGUUUAUCCAUCCAUCCACUGAGGGACAUCUGGGUUAUUUCUAGUUUGGUGCUAUUAUGAAUACAAUGGCUACAGAUAUUUACAAUAGAUCUAUGUAUAAACUAAAUCUUAUUUCCCUGAGGUAAAUGUCCCAGAGUGAAGUUGCUGGGUCAUUUGGUUAACACUGGUAUACUAUUAUAAGAAACUGCCAGCUCUUUCCCCAGAGUGCCUGUACUGUUUUACAUCCCCACCAGAAAUACACAGAUUCCUUUCUCUGAAUCUUUGCCAUUGUUUGGGGUUGUCAUUAGUUAUUUAUUUUAGCAAUUCAAUUAAAAAAACUUUAAAAAACUUCUUGUCGUAUGUUUAUCUGUAAUCUAUGCCUCCUCUUUUAUAAAUGUCUUUUGCCUAUCUUCUAACUGGAUUGUUUUAUUUUUGCUGUUGAGUUUUGAGUAUUCUUUAUGUAGUUUAGAUACUAUCCUGUUAUUGGAUAUAUGGUUUGCAAAUAAACUCUUCUAGCUUUUCUUUCA